rnacentral:rRNA from 1 species
CCGCGUGAGGGAUGAAGGCCUUCGGGUUGUAAACCUCUUUCAGUAGGGAAGAAGCGAAAGUGACGGUACCUGCAGAAGAAGCGCCGGCUAACUACGUGCCAGCAGCCGCGGUAAUACGUAGGGCGCAAGCGUUGUCCGGAAUUAUUGGGCGUAAAGAGCUCGUAGGCGGUUUGUCGCGUCUGGUGUGAAAACUCAAGGCUCAACCUUGAGCUUGCAUCGGGUACGGGCAGACUAGAGUGCGGUAGGGGUGACUGGAAUUCCUGGUGUAGCGGUGGAAUGCGCAGAUAUCAGGAGGAACACCGAUGGCGAAGGCAGGUCACUGGGCCGCAACUGACGCUGAGGAGCGAAAGCAUGGGGAGCGAACAGGAUUAG